CGGGUCUGAGUGAGCACCUACAUUUGGCUGUUGAGGGGCAGCUGGUGGAGUUGGCAGGCGACUCUGCACUAAGUUCUCAGGUUGAAUGGGAGUUGGGUCGAGGGAAGGAAUGGACGCAGAGUUAGGGUGAAGAGUUGCGGUGGGUCAGCGGGGGUGAAAGGACAUGGAGAUGUCAUUUUUAACAAGAUUGGGUGAGGGUGGUAGGAAAGGAGGCAGCAAGAGUUCGGGACAGUUUGGCAAAGACUUAGGGAUGGGGUGUCCUCAGUACGGCAGGAGACGCAAAGGAAGGUAUACAGUGGGCUAGGAGACUAAGGACGAGAAGACACAGUUACGACUUGGAAUAAGGCUGAGAUCGGAGUUAUCCAGAAGAAAGCGGGUGAUGACAACUCCGUGAGGGUGGAGAUUAUACCUCUCUCAUCAUUUCAGCAACAAGGAAAUAAUUUAGUGGCAGAGUAAGGGUGACUUGGUGAG
rnacentral:lncRNA from 1 species